rnacentral:lncRNA from 1 species
ACUCCCUUCUGUGUCAGGCGACUCGUAUGCCACGAUUUUUUCGCUGUGUGGGAAAUGUAGUUCGGCGUUGUGUCGAUCGACAGCCGGAGACACGCCCAGAAAACUACUACUCCCAUAAUUCCGGGAGGCCGUAGUACCGUGAUCCGCGCGUGGAGACCAUGGCGUUCCUGUGCAGAAUGUGACGGGGAUAACGGGAAAUAUAACUCCGACAGCGAGUUAUUGUCACAUUAUUCUGAGGAAAGGAUUGGAUUUAAAUAGAGGAUAAAAUGGGCUCUCGUAUCAAGGAGAGCCCCGGGUCACCCUUUGAGGUAUACAUGGAGGUGGUGCAUUCUGGGACGGCUGGCUCUGGACCAGAGGUACGAAGGAGUUUCCCCGACACAUACACUGACCAGG